rnacentral:rRNA from 1 species
AGCUCCAAUAGCGUAUAUUAAAGUUGUUGCAGUUAAAAAGCUCGUAGUUGGAUUUCGGAGCGGAGCUCACGGUCCGCCUUCUUGGGUGUGCACUGUGCUGUUCUGUUCUUCUUCUCAUGGAGCGUGUGUGCUCUUCAUUGAGUGUGCACGUAACUCGGGACUUUUACUUUGAAAAAAUUAGAGUGUUCAAAGCAGGUCUUGGCUUGAAUACAUUAGCAUGGAAUAAUGAAAUAGGACUUUGGUUCUAUUUUGUUGGUUUUCGGAACCAAGGUAAUGACUAAUAGGGACAGUUGGGGGCAUUCGUAUUCAAUUGUCAGAGGUGAAAUUCUUGGACCUACGAAAGACGAACAACUGCGAAAGCAUUUGCCAAGAGUGUUUUCAUUAAUCAAGAACGAAAGUA